ensembl:lncRNA
CAGAAAAAUGUAGCCUCUGUGUGUGUGUGUGUGUGUGUGUGUGGGUGGGUGUGUGAGAGAGACAGUGUGAUAAAGUGUUAAACCUUUGGUCUGGCAUUAUCUCGGUAAGCCACAGAAGCCAUCGCUGAGGUAUUUCCCUUUUAUCCCCAGAGUUCCCUGGAUAGGCUCUGGAUUUACUCCGACCCUGAUCAAGAUAAAACACUUAGCAACACAUACAGCUGUAUAAUCUCAAUAGUUUCCACCUAAACUACAAUAAACAGCCAAAAGUAUGCGGACACCUGACCAUCACACAUAAAUAUGGUUCUUCCCCAGACUGUUGCCACAAAGUUGGAAGCACACAAUCGUAUAAAAAGUUUUUGAAUGCUGUAGCAUUACAAUUUCCCUUCCCUGGAACUAAGAGGCCCAAACCUGUUCCAGCAUGACAAUGUGCACAAAGCAAGCUCUGUGAAGACUGGGUUUGCCAAGUUUGCCCUGACCUCAACCCUACUGAACACCUUUGGGAUGAAUUGGAAUGCAGACUGCUCACCAGACAUCACCUCCACACCCAACAUCAGUGCCUGACCUCACUAAUGCUAUUAUGGCUGAAUGAACACAAAGACACCGGAGAUGCCUUACAUAAAUGCUAAUAAAUAAAUAAAUAAAUAAAUAAAUACACACAGCAUCAACAACCUUAAUUUGUUUGAUUUAUUUUUAGUUUCUUUGCUAAUAGGUGUUACAAAUGUGUAUCAGUUUUAGGGUAGCAGUAGAAGGGCUAUUGAGAACAAUGGACCUGUAGUACAUUUUACUUUUGCAGUGACAAAUAUAAUGUAAUGUUUCCGUUCACUUUUAAAGUUUUCAUUUGACUCACCCUUGUAUGUUCUUUUUUUUUUUGUUAAAUAACAGCAAAUUGUCCUUUUAACUGUAGAUGUCCCUGUGAAUUUGCUAUUAGUGUAGUAAACAUGACAUCAAAUGAGCACAUUAAUACAAUAUGAUUUGUCUUGCAGAUUGCCAGCUGCCGACUGAGCUGCUGUUAUAUAAGUAAUAACACACGACAGAUCUUGCAGUUAGGCAAAGAUUACAAUGUGUAAUUUCUUAAUGCACAAUAUGUCAUGCAUUUUAAUGGUAUAUAGUUAUAUUUAAGGUUGUAGAACAUCCGAGAGACAACUGCGAUAAACAGUCAUUCCCUCACCAGUCUGUCUGUCUGUCUGUCUCUGUGUGUGUGUGGGUGGAUAUGUGUCACACAAUUGAUCAUACCUCAACAGCGAUUUAGUUGCAGUUUAUGCUCAUUUGACAAAUCUUAAAUAAAUCAUAGUAGAUGCAUAUAUAUAUAUAUAUAUAUAUAUAUAUAUAUAUAUAUAUAUA